CUUGCUAAGUUUGAUGGCGACCGGCGCACGGGUGAGUAACACGUAUCCAACCUGCCGACGACUCGGGGAUAGCCUUUCGAAAGAAAGAUUAAUACCCGAUGGCAUAGUUCUUCCGCACGGUAGAACUAUUAAAGAAUUUCGGUCAUCGAUGGGGAUGCGUUCCAUUAGGUUGUUGGCGGGGUAACGGCCCACCAAGCCUUCGAUGGAUAGGGGUUCUGAGAGGAAGGUCCCCCACAUUGGAACUGAGACACGGUCCAAACUCCUACGGGAGGCAGCAUG
rnacentral:rRNA from 1 species